UACGGAGGGUGCAAGCGUUAAUCGGAAUUACUGGGCGUAAAGGGUUCGUAGGUGGUUUGAUAAGUUAUCUGUAAAAGCCCUGGGCUCAACCUGGGAAAGUCAGAUAAUACUGUUGAACUCGAGUAUGGGAGAGGGUAGUGGAAUUUCCGGUGUAGCGGUGAAAUGCGUAGAGAUCGGAAGGAACACCAGUGGCGAAGGCGGCUACCUGGCCUGAUACUGACACUGAGGAACGAAAGCGUGGGGAGCAAAC
rnacentral:rRNA from 1 species